GGGCUAUUGCUGGGCUAUUUGCUUGUUUUGAUGAUGUGGCAGGAGGAUUUUUAGUGCUGAUGAUGUGGCAGUGGCUAGGCUAUGGCUGGGCUAUUGCUGGGCUAUUCCUAUUGUGGAUGGCCUAAAGGGGCUGCUAUAUUCCUUGUUCAUUUCCUGCUGCAAAUCCUCUCUUUUAAGGAUUUUGCAGCAUUCUUUAACUGAAAUCUGGUGGUGUACUAGGAAAAUAGGACUCUUGAAAAUGUGUUGAUUGUUGGUACUGCAGAAUGUACAAUCAAAGGCUACAGCCUACAGAGAUUGGUUGGGGUUUAGGAGUGCUGCAGGCUGUCCUUUGCUCUUUUGGGAUUGUUUAGCCUCUUUUCAUUAAAGUAGGUCUCGGUUGAGGUGGAAAACAAUGCAGGAGUUCACUUGCCACUCUAGGCAAGAUUUGCUUUUCAUCCUUGAAGUCUUUGGAGAGGACUAACACUACAUGGCUUGCAGCUCUCGGCCCUACAGGCUGCUUCGGCGGGACCGUGAAGGUGUGGCUUGGCUCGAAAAGAGAGAGGCCCAAAGUUUAGCAUUCCUAAAAUUGUAAUAGAAUAGGGCCGUUCCAAGUUGUUCUUCUUUCCAUUCUCAAAUAAUAUGUGAAUCAUUUAUAAAGGUUAAUAUAUAUUGUCCUCGAGCACCCUUAGUUCGGAACCAAAA